UACGUAGGGCGCAAGCGUUGUCCGGAAUUAUUGGGCGUAAAGAGCUCGUAGGCGGCUUGUCACGUCGAUUGUGAAAGCCCGAGGCUUAACCUCGGGUCUGCAGUCGAUACGGGCUAGCUAGAGUGUGGUAGGGGAGAUCGGAAUUCCUGGUGUAGCGGUGAAAUGCGCAGAUAUCAGGAGGAACACCGGUGGCGAAGGCGGAUCUCUGGGCCAUUACUGACGCUGAGGAGUGAAAGCGUGGGGAGCGAACAGG
rnacentral:rRNA from 1 species